rnacentral:miRNA from 1 species
UCCGGGGUCGGUGUAGGCUAAA